ensembl:lncRNA
GCGGAGCGCUGAGGUGGCGGUGCUGCUGGGCUCGUUUGUUCUUUCGUCUGUCCGUUCUUCCUUAGUAACAAGCCGCGGGUUCUGGGUUAGAGGUUCCUUGGGGGCGGCCGCCUUCCACAGAGCGAGCCUGAGGCACCCGCUGCCUUUCUGCUCUACUGGCUCGGUCCUUUACGGUGUUGCCUUCAGUCCUGGUGUCCGGAAAGCUCCAUUUGCUUCAGUGCAAGCAACCUGCUCUAGCGGGAAGUACUCCUGCCCAUAGCAGGGGUUGCAACUGGUGGUCUUCAAGUCCCCCCCAGCCCAAACGAGAGAGGAGGCUCAGGGGAGGUCUUAACACUCUCUAUGAAGACCUGAGAGGAGGUCCUUUCAAGCUGGGGGUUGCCCUCUUCUCCCAGCAGAAAAGGACAGCUGUUUACUGUGACCUCUGUCCAGCAAAGGCCCACAUACUUAGCAAGAGUUAACUCCUCCUUGUUAUGAGGAGUAAAAUGUGAGAAAAGUCAAGAAGUGUAAAUCUUCAAAGGAUAAUGUGCAGUUAGAUGCCAUUUGGCAUGAUGAAGAAUAUCACACUGCAGCCCGGAGAGGCAGUGACAUUAUUCAGGAAGCCUUGAGAAUCAAUAUUUCCUGUCUCCUACUCCUGUGCUGCUUCUCAAGGGCUGGUCAGCAGAGGGCCGUGUGACCCAUAGGAGCAUAUGUUCUACGCACAGAUGUGCCUGUGUACUCCAGAUCUGGGAUUUCAUCAGGGAUAAAUAUUUCCUUUUUCUCCCACAAGAAAUUAUUUUUCCUUCUGGAUGGAGUGGUGCAGAGAUGUGUACAGACAGAAUCUCGCAGACAUGCCCUUGCUACAAAGAAGACUGAUGUUAUCCUAGGCUUUGUUAGUCAGAAUCUCACCAACGGGUCAACGGAGGUGAUCUUUCCACUCAGGACAAGUGAUGCUACACAUGGAGCCCCGUGUCCACUUCUGGGCUCUACAGUACAAGAAAGACGUGGACUUGCUAGAGACAGUCCAAUGAAUGGCCAGAAAAAAACUAAGGGACUGUAACACCUGUUCUAUGAGGAAAGGCUGAGAGAGCUGGGACUGUUCAGCCUGUAUAAGAAAAGGCUCAGGGUGGAUACGUGAUGAGAUGGUGCAAAGAAGACAAAGCCAUUGGUACCCAGGGAUAGGACAAGAGUUAAUGUGCACAAACUGGAAUGCAGGAUUCUCCCUUUGAUCAUCCCGUAAUGCUUUCUUACUGUGCGAGUGACUGAAGAAUAGAGCAGGCUGUCCAGAGAGGCAGCGUGGUCUCCUUGGAGAUCUCCAAAAGCCACCUGGGCAUAUGCCUGGGCACUCUGCUCUAGGUGGCACUGCUUGAGCACAGACUGGACCAGAUGGACCCAGAGGUCUCUGACAACUUCAGCCAUUCUGUAAUUCUGUAUUUACAAAGUAAACAAAAGCACAGGUCUGAAUAUUUUCCUUUGCUGUGUGUCCUUGUGUUACUCUUGUUCUGUUCCCUGAUACAGCUGAAUAGAUACAAAACCAUGUGAAUGCAAGUAUGAAUUGACUUCAGUAAUCUCAAGAGAAAUAUUCAUGUGAAUAAAACUACUAAUGAACAGCCUUCUAUGUAACCUUAUUCUCUUUUGUAAUUUCCACCUUUAGAAUUAUAGCCUAUGAUCAAGGUAGUUUCAGUAUCAAAUUUAUGUUUUGAAGUAAGGAGGAUUAGUAAUUUCCAGAUAAGUUUUACAGAAGCUAAUAAGAUUUGACCAAAUAAACUUUCAUUGCUGCCUUCCAAAGUUAAAUCAUAGUCUUACAUAAACAAUAAAUUCCCCCAGUGAAUACCUGUUAAAUGGAUUUGCAAAUUGUGUUGCAGCCCAAUAAACAAACAAACAAAAUUAAUAAACAAACCCUUGAAUGUUCUUGUUAUACAAAUUGUGAAUUCAUUCCUGGCAAACGCAAUACCUCCACAAAUCUCCAAGCCAUGUAAAAGCAGUGUGAACUUUUGAGUAUGAAACUUAUUCAUAGAAAAAAAAUGUGGUAAUUCUUAUGUGCGUAUUUUUACCUUGUGCCUGUCAUUGGAACUGAAGAUUUAUUGCUACAAUACAUAUUAAAAGCAACCAACAG